rnacentral:rRNA from 1 species
ACCAUGAAGAGUUUGAUCCUGGCUCAGGAUAAACGCUAGCGGCAGGCCUAACACAUGCAAGUCGAGGGGCAUCGGGGUGUAGCAAUACACCG